UUCUUAGGCUCUAGGGCUCUGACCUGGGCUCCAAGAUAAAUAUUUAAUGUAGAGGGUGCCGCUGAGCUGCCAAAGGUUCCAGCUUCCUGUUUCUCACAAGAGAAGGUACAGCUACGGACAAGGAGCUGAGGACGGGCUACCAGUCCCAUCUCUAUGGGAAUGGGGAGUCCGGUAAACAAGUCUCAGAGGACGCAUGUGGGGAGGAGGGGGGGCACUGGAGAGCUGAGCUUUUUGCUUAGCUGCCUCAGCUCUGCCUGGCCACUCAGGCCCGGACUGGCUCAGCACCUCUCAGGCCGGAGCCCGCUGUGUUCGCAAGUAUUGGAUGGCCUCACAAAACACAGCAUGCAGGAUUGCUAGGACCAUGGGUUAGAGAAAUCCAAGGGAACUUGAAUAAUCCCCUUUUCUGUCCAUAUUUAGGGAGAAUUCCUCCUCUUUUAAGAUGAAAGAGAAAAAGGUAGCAAGGUUCUGAGAUUGCACUAAGAACCAGGUGUCUGGUUUCCCGACUCCUCCUCCCGAGCUUCAGCUCACUGCUGCUGCCUGCCUGACUCACAGCCGGGCAGCUUCCCUGGUAUAUCAGAGCCAGGCAGCAUUGUCCCAGAGAGUGCAGCUCUGGUCAGUAUGCCAUCCGGUCUCCUACAUGCCGUCAGCUCUAAAAGCGACCUCCCUCCCUAUUAGUCAGUUGCCUGCACACCUCUGGCAUGGCCUUUGGGUCAAGGAUUGCUGGUGCCUCCACAACCACCUGAGCCCAAGUAAACACAGUUACGUAACUGGUCCGUUUAUCCAGCUAUCUGAUUCCAGUCACCAGCAGCCCCACCCAGCCCCGGGCAGCCAAUUCUGGCCUAGGCAACUCCCCCACCGGUACUCUGUCCUCUGCCACCAACUCAAAGCGCCAUUAGUCAAGUGAAGACCAAUUAGUGCCGAGGAGAGUCUACCAUUUAGAUGAGUCACCCUGACGUCUCUGCUGCAGGCUUCUGCUCUCCAGACCAGAUGGGAGUAACCGAGGAUAUGCAGACCGCUUCAGAAGGGACCACAGGGAACCCAUCCACGAGGAACAGGAGCCAAGUCGUCAUGGAUAUACUAGCCCAGGCGGGGACUCUGUUUCACCCCUGGGGCCAUCUCCUGACUCCGGCUCCUGCAGUGCUGCCAGCUGAACUCUAUCAAUGGCCCCACAUAUGCUAACCACUCAUGGGAACAGGGGCGGACAAGGCAGGAAAGUGAAGUGACCCACUUUGGGGCUCCAAGGGCCCUCUUACACACUGGCCUAUUUGGAAGUAUGUG